rnacentral:rRNA from 1 species
AUUGAACGCUGGCGGCAUGCUUUACACAUGCAAGUCGAACGGCAGCGCGGGCUUCGGCCUGGCGGCGAGUGGCGAACGGGUGAGUAAUGCAUCGGAACGUGCCCAGUAGUGGGGGAUAGCCCGGCGAAAGCCGGAUUAAUACCGCAUACGACCUGAUGGUGAAAGCGGGAGACCGAAAGGCCUCGCGCUAUUGUAGCGGCCGAUGUCGGAUUAGCUAGUUGGUUGGGUAAAGGCUUACCAAGGCGACGAUCCGUAGCUGGUCUGAGAGGACGACCAGCCACACGGGAGCUGAGACGCGGCCAAGAGUCCUACGGGAGGCAGCAGUGGGGAAUUUUGGACAAUGGGGGCAACCCUGACCCAGCCAUGCCGCGUGCGAGAAGAAGGCCUUCGGGUUGUAAACCGCUUUUGUUCGGGAAGAAAUCCUCUGGGCUAAUACCCCGGGGGGAUGACGGUACCGGAAGAAUAAGCACCGGCUAACUACGUG